rnacentral:rRNA from 1 species
CACCGCGGUUAUACGAGAGGCCCAAGUUGACAAAUUAACGGCAUAAAAGGUGGUUAGUAUUUUAUUAAACUAAAGCCAAACACCCUCAAAGUUGUCAUACACUCUCGAAGGUAAGAAGCACCCCCACGAAAGUGACUUUAUACAAUACGACCCCACGAAAGCUAGGAAA